rnacentral:rRNA from 1 species
GACGAACGCUGGCGGCGUGCCUAAUACAUGCAAGUAGAACGCUGAAGGAGGAGCUUGCUUCUCCGGAUGAGUUGCGAACGGGUGAGUAACGCGUAGGUAACCUGCCUGGUAGCGGGGGAUAACUAUUGGAAACGAUAGCUAAUACCGCAUAACAGUAGAUAUUGCAUGAUAUCUGCUUGAAAGGUGCAAUUGCAUCACUACCAGAUGGACCUGCGUUGUAUUAGCUAGUUGGUGAGGUAACGGCUCACCAAGGCGACGAUACAUGGCCGACCUGAGAGGGUGAUCGGCCACACUGGGACUGAGACACGGCCCAGACUCCUACGGGAGGCAGCAGUAGGGAAUCUUCGGCAAUGGACGGAAGUCUGACCGAGCAACGCCGCGUGAGUGAAGAAGGUUUUCGGAUCGUAAAGCUCUGUUGUAAGAGAAGAACGAGUGUGAGAGUGGAAAGUUCACACUGUGACGGUAUCUUACCAGAAAGGGACGGCUAACUACGUG